GAAGAGUGUUAAUAAUUUCCUGGAUCUGAGAAUGUGGAUUCUUUUCUAAACCAGUAGGUGAUGUAGAAUUUCAAGUUUUAAAUCACAAUGUGAAAAGUGCGUAAUUUUUUUUGUUUUUAGGGACUGACCAUGCGUUUCAACAUACCAACUGGGACCAAUUUACCCCCUGUCAGUUUCAACUCUCAAACUCCUUAUAUUCCUUUCAAUUUGGGAGCCCUGUCAGCAAUGAGUAAUCAACAGCUGGAGGACCUCAUUAAUCAAGGAAGAGAAAAAGUUGUAGAAGCAACAAACAGUGUGACAGCAGUGAGGAUUCAACCUCUUGAAGAUAUAAUUUCAGCUGUAUGGAAGGAGAAUAUGAAUCUCUCAGAGGCCCAAGUACAGGCGUUAGCAUUAAGUAGACAAGCCAGCCAGGAGCUUGAUGUUAAACGAAGAGAAGCAAUCUACAAUGAUGUAUUGACAAAACAACAGAUGUUAAUCAGCUGUGUUCAGCGAAUACUUAUGAACAGAAGGCUCCAGCAGCAGUACAAUCAGCAGCAACAGCAACAAAUGACUUAUCAACAAGCAACACUGGGUCACCUCAUGAUGCCAAAGCCUCCAAAUUUGAUCAUGAAUCCUUCUAACUACCAGCAGAUUGAUAUGAGAGGAAUGUAUCAGCCAGUGGCUGGUGGUAUGCAGCCACCACCAUUACAGCGUGCACCACCCCCAAUGAGAAGCAAAAAUCCAGGACCUUCCCAAGGGAAAUCAAUGUGAUUUUGCACUAAAAGCUUAAUGGAUUGUUAAAAUCAUAGAAAGAUCUUUUAUUUUUUUAGGAAUCAAUGACUUAACAGAACUCAACUGUAUAAAUAGUUUGGUCCCCUUAAAUGCCAAUCUUCCAUAUUAGUUUUACUUUUUUUUAAAAAAUAGGGCAUACCGUUUCUUCCUGACAUUUGUCAGUGAUGUUGCCUAGAAUCUUCUUACACACAUUGAGUACAGAAGAUAUUUCAAAUUGUUUUCAGUGAAAACAAGUCCUUCCAUAAUAGUAACAGCUCCACAGAUUUCCUCUCUAAAUUUUUAUGCCUGCUUUUAGCAACCAUAAAAUUGUCAUAAAGUUAAUAAAUUUAGGAAAGAAUAAAGAUUUAUAUAUUCAUUCUUUACAUAGAAAAACACACAGCUGAGUUCUUAGAGUUGAUUCCUCAAGUUAUGAAAUACUUUUGUACUUAAUCCAUUUCUUGAUUAAAGUGAUUGAAAUGGUUUUAAUGUUCUUUUGACUGAAGUCUGAAACUGGGCUCCUGCUUUUUAUUGUCUCUGUGACUGAAAGUUAGAAACUGAGGGUUAUCUUUGACACAGAAUUGUGUGCAAUAUUCUUAAAUACUACUGCUCUAAAAGUUGGAGGAGUCUUACAGUUAUCUUAGCAUUGUAUAAACAGCCUUAAGUAUAGCCUAAGAAGAGAAUUCCUUUUUCUUCUUUAGUCCUUCUGCCAUUUUUUAUUUUCAGUUAUAUGUGCUGAAAUAAUUACUGGUAAAAUUUCAGGGUUGUGGAUUAUCUUCCACACAUGAAUUUUCUCUCUCCUGGCACGAAUAUAAAGCACAUCUCUUAACUGCAUGGUGCCAGUGCUAGUGCUUCAUCCUGUUGCUGGCAGUGGGAUGUGGACUUAGAAAAUCAAGUUCUAGCAUUUUAGGAGGUUAACACUGAAGUUGUGGUUGUUAGGUUCACACCCUGUUUUAUAAACAACAUCAAAAUGGCAGAACCAUUGCUGACUUUAAGUUCACAUGAGGAAUGUGCUUUAACAAUUCCCAGUACUAUCAGUAUUGUGAAAUAAUUCCUCUGAAAGAUAAGAAUCACUGGCUUCUAUGCGCUUCUUUUCUCUCAUCAUGUUCUUUUACCCCAGUUUCCUUACAUUUUUUAAAAUUGUUUCAGAGUUGUUUUUUCUUUAGAUUUUGAGACAAUUAUUAAAUCAAAAUUAAUUCAUCCAAUACCCCUUUACUAGAAGUUUUACUAGAAAAUGUAUCACAUUUUAUUUUUUCUUAAUCCAGUUCUGUAAAAAUGACCUAUAAUUUUAUUCAUAUACAAUUUUGAUUACUUGAAUUCUAAAAGAAAACAUUGUUUUUGGCUAUGGGAGUCAACUCAACAUGGCAAAACCAUUUUGAGAUGAUGAUAUAACAGGUAGUGAAACAGCUUAAGAAUUCCAGAAAAAAAAAAAAAACUGGGUGUAGGCUUUGCUUUAGGUAUCACUGGAUUAGAAUGAGUUUAACAUUAGCUAAAACUGCUUUGAGUUGUUUGGAUGAUUAAGAGAUUGCCAUUUUUAUCUUGGAAGAACUAGUGGUAAAACAUCCAAGAGCACUAGGAUUGUGAUACAGAAUUUGUGAGGUUUGGUGGAUCCACGCCCCUCCCCCCCACCUUCCCAUGAUGAAAUAUCACUAAUAAAUUCUGUAUAUUUAGAUAUUAUGCUAGCCAUGUAAUCAGAUUUAUUUAAUUGGGUGGGGCAGGUGUGUAUUUACUUUAGAAAUAAUGAAAAAGACAAGAUUUAUGAUAAAUAUUUGAAGGCAGUACACUCUGGCCAACUGUUAUCAGUUGGUAUUUCUACAAGUUCGGAAUAUUUUAAACCUGAUUUACUAGACCUGGGAAUUUUCAACAUGGUCUGAUUAUUUACUCAAAGACAUAGAUGUGAAAAUUUUAGGCAACCUUCUAAACCUUUUUCACCAUGGAUGAAACUAUAACUUAAAGAAUAAUACUUAGAAGGAUUAAUUGGAAAUCAGAGUUUGAAAUAAAACUUGGACCACUUUGUAUACACUCUUCUCACUUGACAUUUUAGCUACAUAAUAUGUACUUUGAGUAUAACAUCAAGCUUUAACAAAUAUUUAAAGACAAAAAAAUCGCAUCAAUAAAGUACUAAAAGGCUCAUUUUUAUAUUUGUUUUAGAUGUUUUAAAUAGUUGCAAUGGAUUAAAAAUGAUGAUUUAAAAUGUUGCUUGUAAUACAGUUUUGCCUGCUAAAUUCUCCACAUUUUGUAACCUGUUUUAUUUCUUUGGGUGUAAAGCGUUUUUGCUUAGUAUUGUGAUAUUGUAUAUGUUUUGUCCCAGUUGUAUAGUAAUGUUUCAGUCCAUCAUCCAGCUUUGGCUGCUGAAAUCAUACAGCUGUGAAGACUUGCCUUUGUUUCUGUUAGACUGCUUUUCAGUUCUGUAUUGAGUAUCUUAAGUACUGUAGAAAAGAUGUCACUUCUUCCUUUAAGGCUGUUUUGUAAUAUAUAUAAGGACUGGAAUUGUGUUUUUAAAGAAAAGCAUUCAAGUAUGACAAUAUACUAUCUGUGUUUUCACCAUUCAAAGUGCUGUUUAGUAGUUGAAACUUAAACUAUUUAAUGUCAUUUAAUAAAGUGACCAAAAUGUGUUGUGCUCUUUAUUGUAUUUUCACAGCUUUGAAAAUAUGUGCACAUGUUUCAUAGAAAAUGUAUAGCUUUUGUUAUCCUAUAUAAUGGUGGUUCUUUUGCACAUUUAGUUAUUUAGUAUUGAGAGGUCACGAAGUUUGGUUAUUGAAUCUGUUAUACUAAAUUCUGUAAAGGGAGAUCUCUAAUCUCAAAGAGAAUUUACAUACCAGGAAGCCCAUGUGUGUUUGUGUUAGUUUUGGAUGUCUUUGUGUAAUCCAGCCCCAUUUCCUGUUUCCCAACAACUGUAACACUCAUUUUAAGUCAAGCAGGGCUACCAACCCACACUUGAUAGAAAAGCUGCUUACCAUUCAGAAGCUAUAGCAGGUAGAUGGAAACCUUAUUAUCUGGCCUCCAAAGAAGCUGAAUAUUUUGUAGCCUUCCCUUAGCUAUGUUCAUUUUCCCUCCAUUAUCAUAAAAUCAGAUCCAUAUUUAUGUGCCCCAAACAAAACUUCUUAAGAGCAGUUACAUAUCUGUCCCAGUAGCCCUUGUUUCCUUUGAGGGUAGCAUGUUGUGAGGCUAUAGAGACUUAUUCAGCAGUAAAACAGGUCAAUCCUUUUACAUGUCUAUUAUACUAAAAAUUAUGUUCAGGGUAUUACUACUUUAUUUCACCAGACUCAGUCUCAAGUGACUUGGCUAUCUCCAAAUCAAAUCUAUCCUUAGAGAAUAAACAUUUUUCUACCGUUAAUUUUUUUCAAGUCUAUAAUCUGAGCCAGUCCCCACGGAGUGACCAAGUUUCAGAAAUGCUUUCAUCUUCGCAACAUUUUAUAUAUACUAUUAUAUGGGGUGAAUAAAGUUUUAAAUCCGAAAUAUAUACUGUGUCAAAGCUCAAUAUGUGCCAGGUAACUAAACUGUUCACAUCACUAGCAUUGGAUGUAAUAACAGGAUAGUGGCUCACCCCCAAGAGCUGCCAUAAAAUUCCACUAUGAUAGAUACUACCACCGUCUCUUUGGAACAACCUUCCUGAUACCAUUGUGCCAGUGAACUAAGGGAAUCAUCCUUCCUC
ensembl:lincRNA